GCCGGGCGUGGUGGCGCGCGCCUGUAAUCCCGGCUACUCGGGAGGCUGAGGCAGAAGAAUCGCUUGAACCCGGGAGGUGGAGGUUGCAGUGAGCUGAGAUUGCACCACUGCACUCCAGCCUAGGCUAUGACAGAGCAAGACUCUGUCUCAAAAAAAAAACUUGAGCCUGGGCAACAUAGUGAGAUCCCAUAUCUACCAAAAAAUUAAAAAUUGGCUGGGCAUGGUGGUGAGAGCCUACAGUCCCACUUACUCGGGAGGCUGAGGCAGGAGGAUCACUUGAGCCCAAGAGGUCUAGGCUGCAGUGAGCCUUGAUUGUACCACCGGACUUCAGCCUGGGUAACAGAGCGAGACUCUGUCUCUA
rnacentral:SRP_RNA from 1 species